AACGAACGCUGGCGGCAGGCCUAACACAUGCAAGUCGAACGCCCCGCAAGGGGAGUGGCAGACGGGUGAGUAACGCGUGGGCACCUACCUUUCGGUGAGGAAUAACUUCGGGAAACCAAAGCUAAUACCGCAUACGCCCUACGGGGGAAAGAUUUAUCGCCGAUAGAUGGGCCCGCGUCGGAUUAGCUUGUUGGUGAGGUAACGGCUCACCAAGGCGACGAGCCGUAGCUGGUCUGCGAGGAUGAUCAGCCACCCUGGGACUGAGACACGGCCCAGACUCCUACGGGAGGCAGCAGUGGGGAAUAUUGGACAAUGGGCGCAAGCCUGAUCCAGCCAUGCCGCGUGAGUGAAGAAGGCCUUAGGGUUGUAAAGCUCUUUUAGUGGGGGAGAUAAUGACGGUACCCACAGAAUAAGCCCCGGCUAACUUCGUGCCAGCCGCCGCGGUAA
rnacentral:rRNA from 1 species